rnacentral:rRNA from 1 species
GACGAACGCUGGCGGCGUGCUUAACACAUGCAAGUCGAGCGAGAAAGCCCCUUCGGGGGUGAGUACAGCGGCGAACGGGUGAGUAACACGUGGGCAACCUGCCCCGGAGACUGGGAUAACGUCCCGAAAGGGACGCUAAUACCGGAUGAUGCGUGACCUGCCAAGUGGGUCACGUCAAAUGGUAGCCUCGGCCUCUGCUCCGGGAUGGGCCCGCGCCGGAUUAGCUUGUUGGUGAGGUAACGGCUCACCAAGGCGACGAUCCGUAGCUGAUCUGAGAGGACGAUCAGCCACACUGGGACUGAGACACGGCCCAGACUCCUACGGGAGGCAGCAGUGGGGAAUCUUGCGCAAUGGGCGAAAGCCUGACGCAGCAACGCCGCGUGAGCGAAGACGGCCUCGGUUGUAAGACUCUGUCAGAGGGACGGAAGACCGACUCGGGUGGAACGAGACCCACGAGGGUGGACGGGUACCGUCCCACCAACGAAAGACCCCGGCCGUAACCUACCGUGCCACGCACGG